rnacentral:rRNA from 1 species
CCUACGGGAGGCAGUAGUGGGGAAUAUUGCACAAUGGGGGAAACCCUGAUGCAGCGACGCCGCGUGAGUGAAGCAGUAUUUCGGUAUGUAAAGCUCUAUCAGCAGGGAAGAAAAUGACGGUACAUGAUUAAGAAGCCCCGGCUAACUACGUGCCAGCAGCCGCGGGAAUACGUAGGGGGCAAGCGUUAUCCGGAUUUACUGGGGGUAAAGGGGGCGUAGACGGCAGCGCAAGUCUGAAGUGAAAUGCCGGGGCUUAACCCCGGAACUGCUUUGGAAACUGUGCAGCUAGAGUGCAGGAGAGGUAAGUGGAAUUCCUAGUGUAGCGGUGAAAUUCGUAGAUAUUAGGAGGAACACCAGUGGCGAAGGCGGCUUACUGGACUGUAACUGACGUUGAGGCACGAAAGCGUGGGUAUCGAACAGGAUUAGAUACCCGAGUAGUC